GAUGAAGAACGCAGCGAAAUGCGAUAAGGAAUGUGAAUUGCAGAAUUCAGUGAAUCAUCGAAUCUUUGAACGCACAUUGCGCCCGUCAGUAUUCUGGCGGGCAUGCCUGUUCGAGCGUCAUUACGCCCCUCAAGUCCCCUGUGGACUUGGUGUUGGGGAUCGGCGAGGCUGGUUUUCCAGCACAGCCGUCCCUUAAAUUAAUUGGCGGUCUCGCCGUGGCCCUCCUCUGCGCAGUAGUAAAACACUCGCAACAGGAGCCCGGCGCGGUCCACUGCCGUAAAACCCCCCAACUUUUUAUAGUUGACCUCGAAUCAGGUAGGACUACCCGCUGAACUUAAGCAUAUCAAUAAGCGGAGGA
rnacentral:misc_RNA from 1 species